rnacentral:rRNA from 1 species
UACGUAGGUGGCGAGCGUUGUCCGGAAUCAUUGGGCGUAAAGAGCGCGUAGGUGGUUUGUCAGGUCUGAUGUGAAAUCCCGUGGCUCAACUGCGGAACUGCAUCGGAAACCGGCUUACUAGAGUCUGGGAGAGGAGAGUGGAAUUCCUGGUGUAGCGGUGAAAUGCGUAGAUAUCAGGAGGAACACCGGUAGCGAAGGCGGCUCUCUGGAACAGUACUGACACUGAGGCGCGAAAGCUAGGGUAGCAAACGGG